GCGUGGGUCGGCCCGCCGUACUGGAAGCGGUGGGCUGGGGGACACCGCCGCCUCAAUCCCCGCGGGUGGCGGACCGGUCCGGGAGGCGGUCAGCGCCUCCCGGGCUGAG
rnacentral:ncRNA from 1 species